rnacentral:lncRNA from 1 species
UUAAAUGUUUUCUUUAUAUUUUACAUCAAUUAUUCAGAUUAAGAAAGUAAAAUAUAUACAACGUGGCUGAAUAAAAAAAAAGAGGAGCAAAGUAGAGAAUAAUAGGAAAUGACAGAAGAGGUUUUUGGCAACUACAAUACAAAUCUAAAUCAUCAUCGUCAUCAUGUGGAGGUGAGAUUCAAAUCACUAACACCAUAUAGACAUUGACGUAAUUAACUUAAACCCAUAUAAUUGGCUAUUAUUCUUUAUAUACAUCAUUGGUUGCAACUCAUUCUACGUUUAUGCCACUAAAGACAAGCAGCCAAAUAACCUUAAAAUUGCUGUCAUUAUCAAAUAAUUUGUUACUUUACAAUUAAUACUUGGCUCAUU